GUCAGCUAGCCCAUGUCACAGUCAGCUUGUCCAUGUCACAGUCAGCUUGCUCAGUGGCAGAGCCAGACCUCAAGCCCAGGUCAGCCACCCACAUUCUGCUCAGCAGACACAAAAAGAAGCCUUCCCUCCUCCUAUGCCAGCUGUGAAGCUCCCUGACCACCUGGACCCCCUUGGAGGCAUCUGCUGCCCUGGAAAUCUGCCGGGGCUUCUCUCGGUCCCGCUGGGCCUGUGACCCUAGCACCACAGCCAUGGAUGCCCAGAGGCAAAGGGGUCUCUUCAACCUGGGAGCGGCCUCCCAUCUCCAAGCCCCAGUCCCUCCUCCGGACGGACGUGGGUUUAAUGGCGUCUAGCCAGGACUCAGAGGGGUGCGGUAAGACAGUGGCAUGAAAGCAUCUGAAAAUAAAAAUGUGCUAACUCUG